rnacentral:rRNA from 1 species
AACGAACGCUGGCGGCAUGCCUAACACAUGCAAGUCGAACGAGACCUUCGGGUCUAGUGGCGCACGGGUGCGUAACGCUUGGGAACCUGCCCUUAGGUUCGGAAUAACUCCCCGAAAGGGGUGCUAAUACCGGAUAAUUUCUUCGGACCAAAGAUUUAUCGCCUUUGGAUGGGCCCGCGUUGGAUUAGCUAGUUGGUAGGGUAAAAGCCUACCAAGGCGACGAUCCAUAGCUGGUCUGAGAGGAUGAUCAGCCACACUGGGACUGAGACACGGCCCAGACUCCUACGGGAGGCAGCAGUGGGGAAUAUAGGACAGUGGGCGAAAGCCUGAUCCAGCAAUGCCGCGAGAGUGAUGAAGGCCUUAGGGUUGUAAAGCUCUUUUACCCGGGAUGAUAAUGACAGUACCGGGAGAAUAAGCACCGGCUAACUCCGUG